UAGGGAAUUUUCCACAAUGGGCGAAAGCCUGAUGGAGCAACGCCGCGUGCAGGAUGAAUGCCUUCGGGUUGUAAACUGCUUUUAUCUGUGAAGAUUAUGACGGUAGCAGAUGAAUAAGGAUCGGCUAACUCCGUGCCAGCAGCCGCGGUCAUACGGAGGAUCCAAGCGUUAUCCGGAAUUACUGGGCGUAAAGAGUUGCGUAGGCGGCAGAGUAAGCAGAGCAUGAAAGCGUGUGGCUCAACCAUACAGCUAUGUUCUGAACUGCUCAGCUAGAGGACGAGAGAGGUAACUGGAAUUCCUAGUGUAGGAGUGAAAUCCGUAGAUAUUAGGAGGAACACCGAUGGCGUAAGCAGGUUACUGGCUCGUUCCUGACGCUCAGGCACGAAAGCGUGGGUAGCAAACGGGAUUAGAUACCCCCGUAGUCC
rnacentral:rRNA from 1 species